rnacentral:tRNA from 1 species
GCCCGGAUGGCGGAAUUGGUAGACGCGCUGGUCUCAAACACCAGUAGGUUCACCCCUGUGCCGGUUCGAUCCCGGCUCCGGGUACAA